AACGAACGCUGGCGGCAUGCCUAACACAUGCAAGUCGAACGAGACCUUCGGGUCUAGUGGCGCACGGGUGCGUAACGCGUGGGAACCUGCCUUUAGGUUCGGAAUAACAGUGAGAAAUUACUGCUAAUACCGGAUAAUGUCUUCGGACCAAAGAUUUAUCGCCUUUAGAUGGGCCCGCGUAGGAUUAGCUAGUCGGUGGGGUAAAGGCCUACCAAGGCGACGAUCCUUAGCUGGUCUGAGAGGAUGAUCAGCCACACUGGGACUGAGACACGGCCCAGACUCCUACGGGAGGCAGCAGUGGGGAAUAUUGGACAAUGGGCGAAAGCCUGAUCCAGCAAUGCCGCGUGAGUGAUGAAGGCCUUAGGGUUGUAAAGCUCUUUUACCAGGGAUGAUAAUGACAGUACCUGGAGAAUAAGCUCCGGCUAACUCCGUGCCAGCCGCCGCAGUAA
rnacentral:rRNA from 1 species